rnacentral:sRNA from 1 species
GUAAUCACUUUGUUGGGUUUAGGGAGUCUCAAUAGGGAUUUAGAUGGAUUAGUAGAUCGAAAACCCCUUAGGAUUAUUCUUAGAGUUCUUCAUCUUGAUUGUUCUUACUGCUAGUUUUAGAUUGAUCACCUAGAACUUGAUAUUAGAUAAUAGGUAUACCCGCCAUAGGUACUUGUUAUCAGAACUAUCAUAUAU